rnacentral:tRNA from 2 species
GGAUGGGUGGCCGAGCGGUCUAAGGCAGCGGUCUUGAAAACCGCCAGGGUGCAAGCCCUCGUGGGUUCGAAUCCCACCCCAUCCGCCA